rnacentral:rRNA from 11 species
AACUGAAGGUCAUACAUGCCCUAAAGGCAACAGAUCCAAACUGAUCUUGGAAGCUAAGCAGGGUCAAUUCUGGUUAGUACAUGAACCGGAGAUUGCCAAUGAAUACGAGGUGCUGCAGGUU